GCAUUGGUGGUUCAGUGGUAGAAUUCUCCCUGCCUGCCGCGGGAGGCCGGGUUCGAUUCCGGCCAAUGCA
rnacentral:tRNA from 1 species